CAUAACAAAUACCCUACAGUUGGCACUAAUAGGAAGUCUCACUCAAGGCUAAGGACUGAAUAGGCAUUGGCCCAGAUCCUCAAAAGGUAUUUAGGUAUCUAAUUCCCAUUGAUUUCACCUAAAUACUUUUGGGGAGCUGGGCCAUUGACUACACUUUCACUGGUUCAAGUCAGCAUCACAGACCCAUUAGCAGUGCAGGCAAGGGGAAGCUUGUUGGGUUGCUGUUCCAGAUCUACCAGUUCUGUAACUAAAUAGCUAAUUUCAGUCUCCAGAUCAAUCCCUGUUAUACCUUUCCCCAGUGUUAAAUCCACCCAAAAAAAAAAAACCAGAGUGGAUUUUCUUUAAACCCUUAAUAUCCUAGUUGUAGAUCUCUUACUCAUUGGGGCGAGCACUGAUUCACUCAAGUACUGCUAUCUGUUGACUUCAGUGAGUCCCUUUUAGAAGUGUGUGCUCAUGUGGCCUCAUGAUGGUAAUCUUGGGCCUGGUCUUCUAGUUCUUACUCAUUUAAAAACUCCCAUUCAACCAGGUCGUGGGGAUCUAUAUUGCUGCACCUAGCAAAGCUCAGAGGAUGAAAAGGGGAAAACGGUGGCCCACAAAGGUGGCAGUAAAACUCUUUUGCAGCUUCCUAAUCCUCAGCCCACUGUGCACUGUUUUGGCUAUAGGGCACAGCUUUGUGCAACCUCAGUGCUCCUCUGUGUUGUAUCACUGCAAUGGCUCCCAAGAGGCUAUUCCAUCAGGUGGGGAUCACUGGAUACAGCAGUGCUCUAGCGACACCUCCUUUCCUUGGCCAUAUACCCCUGACACCUCAGAUGGGGCUGGGAUGGAGAUUGGCAUAAAACCAGCUCUGGAGAUUCUCCUACGCUCUACAUCUAGCCAGCACAGGCUCCUGUACCUCAGGACAGGCUAUGAUGUGAGGUCCAGGGAAAUGAUUUUACAGAAGAUUCCUUCCCUCAUUCCAUGCUGCCAAGGGUGGGAGGAUCCACAGUAGAGGCUGAGGGGACUAUUUGAAUCAUUGCUUUCUGGAAGAUCGUAAAAGCUUCAGGAAAGUCUGAACUUCUGGUUUCCUUAUCUUAGACUUGAUUGGCUUGAUCUGGGAUCUCACUGAGGUGAACUGCUAUCCACAAUUAUCCUGAUGGCUGUUACACUGAUGGCUAAUAUUUAGCAAGCAGAUGAAGGAUUGAUCAUGGGCAUCUGUCCUAAAAAUAAUGGAACUUGAUUCUU